rnacentral:lncRNA from 1 species
AGAUCCUUUGCUACUCUGCCUCAGGCAGUACAAUAUCUGGGGUCAGCCCUGCUGUGUUGGAUCACCAUGUCUCCAGACACCACUCAUAGUCUUAGGGGACCCUAAAAAAGGUCCUGAGCUUGUUGACUUAGGUUUAGAGAGUUGGACACAAGCAUUAGCUGUUGGAGACCUUUGUCACCUUGAUUCAGGAUGCAGGUUAUAAUUUAUGUGUGCUGGAGGGAUGAACGGACAAAUUCUUUGUAACUGAUGUUACGCGUUAUUCUUAUAUUCCAAGUUUUAAAGUGUUGCCUCUUAUGCCUGUUGAGGUCUCUGUAUGUCAGGAUUGGAGAAGAGCAAGGCCCAGGAGCAGUGAUACAGUGGUAAAUUUAAAAGUGUAGGGGCUCCCCCUGACAGCCUCUGUAGUGACCUCACUCCAGAACGAGAGGCCAAACAGGCAGGAUGCUGGAUCCGUGCAUUUCAGCUAUUAAGGAACAGGGCUUUUGUAAGGGUGAGGGUUCUUGAUUUCCCACUCAAGACCAAACCACCAACUCCAUCCAUAAAACUCAGUGCAGACAGAUGACUGGAAAGCUACUGCUGCUCUAAGGGGUUCUUCCAUGGUCAUUCACUAAGUGAUCGCCAGUAAUGAAGCAAUCAUACUUUCUGGUUUAUUAACCCCAAUUUAUCUGUCUUAAAAGCACCUUUGCUUUUGGGCAACACAUACAUCUGCAGACAAGACAGGAUUCACUGUGGCACCCAACCUUAUCUAUAGAGCAGAUCAUUAUUUUCAGAACGUUCACUUUAACCCGAGUGCACUUUCAUUACUGAGCUGUUCUUCCUAUUUCCCACAGAGUUCCCCAAUUAGCUCCAAGUUGCUUGGAAAAUGAAAAUUUAGCUUAUUGCACAAUUGUUUUAAAGAAAAGAGGAGGGAAAAAAAAUCACAUAUCCUCUUUUCUAUUUGCUGUUGUUGUCACUGAGCAUGAACGCAAUAUUUUCCACUAGGCGUGACUUCCGUAUCAGACAUAUUAAAACAAGAACCAAGACAUUGAAAGAAGCAAGACAUUGGAAAGGUCUUGCAGAACGAGGAACCAAGAAUGCCUUCGAUCCAGCUUUGCUGCCAUUUUCAAAGCUGAUUUUACUCUUCCCUGCUUGCAAAGGAAACCUUCUCAACAUUACCCGCUUAGG